UACGGAGGGUGCAAGCGUUAUCCGGAUUCACUGGGUUUAAAGGGUGCGUAGGAGGGCAGGUAAGUCAGUGGUGAAAUCUUCGAGCUUAACUCGGAAACUGCCGUUGAUACUAUCUGUCUUGAAUACCGUGGAGGUGAGCGGAAUAUGUCAUGUAGUGGUGAAAUGCUUAGAUAUGACAUAGAACACCAAUUGCGAAGGCAGCUCGCUACACGAAUAUUGACUCUGAGGCACGAAAGCGUGGGGAGCAAACAGG
rnacentral:rRNA from 1 species